GCAGCCGCGGUAACACCGGCGGCCCGAGUGGUGAUCGUGAUUAUUGGGUCUAAAGGGUCCGUAGCCGGUUUGGUCAGUCCUCCGGGAAAUCUGAUAGCUCAACUAUUAGGCUUUCGGGGGAUACUGCCAGACUUGGAACCGGGAGAGGUAAGAGGUACUACAGGGGUAGGAGUGAAAUCUUGUAAUCCCUGUGGGACCACCUGUGGCGAAGGCGUCUUACCAGAACGGGUUCGACGGUGAGGGACGAAAGCUGGGGGCACGAACCGGAUUAGAUACCCGGGUAGUCCCAGCCGUAAACGAUGCUCGCUAGGUGUCAGGCAUGGCGCGACCGUGUCUGGUGCCGCAGGGAAGCCGUGAAGCGAGCCACCUGGGAAGUACGGCCGCAAGGCUGAAACUUAAAGGAAUUGGCGGGGGAGCACAACAACGGGUGGAAGCCUGCGGUUUAAUUGGACUCAACGCCGGACAACUCACCAGGGGCGACAGCAAUAUGUAGGCCAAGCUGAAGACUUUGCCUGAAUCGCUGAGAGGAGGUGCAUGG
rnacentral:rRNA from 1 species